rnacentral:rRNA from 1 species
CAGGUUCCCCUUGGGGGGCAAAAGACAGUGGUGCAUGUGUUGUCAAAUUCGGGUCGGAGAAGUUGGGUUAAGUCCGCAACGAGCGCAACCUUAUAAUAGUUGCCAGCCUUUAAGUGGGCACUCUAGUAAGACUGCCGGUGACAACCCGGAGGAAGGUGGGGGAUGACGUCAAAUCAUCAUGCCCCUUAUGACCUGGGCUACACACGUGCUACAAUGGAUGGUACAACGAGUUGCGAGACCGCGAGGUCAAGCUAAUCUCUUAAAGCCAAUCUCAGUUCGGACUGUAGGCUGCAACUCGCCUACACGAAGUCGGAAUCGCUAGUAAUCGCGGAUCAGCACGCCGCGGUGAAUACGAUCCCCGGGCCUUGUACACACCGCCCGUCACAUCCAUGUUGAGUUUG